GCAGUCGUGCGAGAAGUAUCUUCGGAUAUGAGUAGAGCGGCGGACGGGUGAGUAACGCGUAGGAAUCUACCUAGUAGAAGGGGAUAGCCCGGGGAAACCCGGAUUAAUACCGUAUACCUCCUUCGGGAGAAAGAAGGCCUCUCUUUGAAGCUUUCGCUACUAGAUGAGCCUGCGUAAGAUUAGCUUGUUGGUGAGGUAAAGGCUCACCAAGGCAACGAUCUUUAGCUGGUCUGAGAGGACGAUCAGCCACAUUGGGACUGAGACACGGCCCAGACUCCUACGGGAGGCAGCAGUGGGGAAUAUUGGACAAUGGGCGCAAGCCUGAUCCAGCCAUACCGCGUGUGUGAAGAAGGCCUUCGGGUUGUAAAGCACUUUAAGCAGGGAGAAAAAGUUAUAAGUUAAUACCUUAUAGCCUUGAUGUUACCUGCAGAAUAAGCACCGGCUAAUUCCGUGCCAGCAGCCGCGGUAAUACGGAAGGUGCAAGCGUUAAUCGGAAUUACUGGGCGUAAAGCGCGCGUAGGUGGUUUGUUAAGUUGGAUGUGAAAGCCCUGGGCUCAACCUAGGAACUGCAUCCAAAACUAACUCACUAGAGUACGAUAGAGGGAGGUAGAAUUCAUAGUGUAGCGGUGGAAUGCGUAGAUAUUAUGAAGAAUACCAGUGGCGAAGGCGGCCUCCUGGAUCUGUACUGACACUGAGGUGCGAAAGCGUGGGUAGCGAACAGGAUUAGAUACCCUGGUAGUCCACGCCGUAAACGAUGACAACUAGCUGUUGGGAGACAAAGUCUUUCAGUGGCGCAGCUAACGCUUUAAGUUGUCCGCCUGGGGAGUACGGCCGCAAGGCUAAAACUCAAAUGAAUUGACGGGGACCCGCACAAGCGGUGGAGCAUGUGGUUUAAUUCGAUGCAACGCGAAAAACCUUACCUACUCUUGACAUACUUGGGAGCUCUUGUAAUGAGAGUGUGCCUUAUGGAACCAAGAUACAGGUGCUGCAUGGCUGUCGUCAGCUCGUGUCGUGAGAUGUUCCGUUAAGUCGGAUAACGAGCGCAACCCUUACCCUUAUUUGCCAGCGAU
rnacentral:rRNA from 1 species